rnacentral:SRP_RNA from 1 species
GCCGGGCGCGGUGGCUCACGCCUGUAAUCCCAGCAGCACUUUGGGAGGCUGAGGCAGGUGGCUCACCUGAGGUCAGGAGUUUGAGACCAGCCUGGCCAACAUGGUGAAACCCUGUCUCUA